rnacentral:tRNA from 1 species
GGGGUCGUAGCCUAGCCUGGUAGGGCGACGGGCUCCAGACCCGUAGGUCACCGGUUCGAUUCCGGUCGGCCCCA